rnacentral:rRNA from 1 species
CGUAGGGCGCAAGCGUUGUCCGGAAUUAUUGGGCGUAAAGAGCUCGUAGGCGGUUUGUCGCGUCGGGUGUGAAAGCCCACAGCUUAACUGUGGGUCUGCACUCGAUACGGGCAGACUAGAGGCAGGUAGGGGAGCAUGGAAUUCCCGGUGUAGCGGUGAAAUGCGCAGAUAUCGGGAGGAACACCGGUGGCGAAGGCGGUGCUCUGGGCCUGUACUGACGCUGAGGAGCGAAAGCGUGGGGAGCGAACAGGAUUAGAUACCCUGGUAGUCCACGCCGUAAACGUUGGGCGCUAGGUGUGGGGUCCUUCCACGGAUUCCGCGCCGUAGCUAACGCAUUAAGCGCCCCGCCUGGGGAGUACGGCCGCAAGGCUA